AUAUAUGAAAAAAAAUAUUCCAAGAUAUAAGUAUGAAUAUGAUUGGCAUUAACUAUUUUCUAUUAUCUAUACCCAAAUUUCAAUUUUAAAUAUCAAUGAAUUAUGUUUGUUUAAUUUUUUAUUAUUAAUUACAAAUUUGUGCAAAUUAAAUACAAAAUAAAAAAAUUUAUUUAUAUAACUUGUUUUUUCUAGGACUCUAAAAAAGCUUUGUCUAAUGUUGCAUACAAAAAACAGUCAAGAAGCACUUUUGCCAAGUCUACCUCUUUUUGGAACAAAGAAUGUCGCUCAACUAAGUCACCUGAUUUAGUUAAACAAAAUCUUGGUGUUUAUUUAAUUACACCCAACGAGACAUGUUGGAAUUCACUGUAUGAUGUAGUGGUGCUGCUUAAUAAAUAAAUUAAAAAUAAUGAACCUGAGUUUAGAAUAAUAAUGGACGAAUUGGCUAAUUAGCAAAUUUGAUAGAAGUGAUAUUGAUUUCAUGUGUCAACAUCAAAAAAUUAUGGGGCCAAUUUCAAUAAGCUUGGAUUUAAUCCAGGGUGAUACUAACAUGUACUUUGACCAUUUCCUACCUUCAAUUGAAGGAUUAAUUUAUAAAUAUGAAUCAAUGACAAGUGAUCAAACAGUUUGUAAUUAUAUGAAACUUCUGGUGACUGCCAUACUUAAUGGUAUGAAAACAAGGUUUGCCGAUUAUUUGAUAGACAAAUUUUUGAUUACUGCUGCUGUCUGCCACCCACUAUUUAAAAAAGUAUGGAUUAAAAAUGGUAUAAAAAGCAAUUGGCCUCUGAAUAUUUAAAAAGUGCCUGUUGUGACUUAUUUAGCAGUGAUAAUGACAAUAAUGAUGUAGAAGAUAACCAAAUGAAAGAUAAUUUAUCUUCCUUAUUGACCCGGUCACUAAAUUCCCGAGAGGAAAAAUCAACAUUUAGUGAUGAAAUAGAUAGAUUUUUGGGCACAUCUCCAACAAAGAUUUUAGAAUGUUUGCAUAAUUUAUCCACUAUCAAAAAAUUUUCAGGUAUUUGUGAAGUAGGUACAACACUCCACUACCUAGCAGUGCAUCAGUAGAGAGAGUGUUUAGUGUUGGCGAUGCAACAAUUCAAAAAAGAACAAAUAUGAUGAAUCAACAUUUUGAACAAAUUAUGUUCUUAAAAUGCAACACUCAAAUAUUCGAUUAAUAUAAUAUAUUAUGAAUGAUUCAGAAUUAAAUUGAUUUUUUUGUUUUGUA